UACUGCCAAAAAAAAAAACAAAACACAAAAAGAAAACAAAUAUGCAUUGUAGUUCUUGAUCAAUGGAGUCUUUGGGAAAGAAGUUUCUAAGAGGUCUUAGCUGUAUUUUUUUAUUCUCUUACUGACUUGGCACAGAGUAUAUUCUUAAUAGGUUUUAUUAUUAAUACAUUUUAUUGGCUAUUGAUGUAGCAGGGAAGAGAGACUGAGGAACGUGAUGAGAGUCUGUGCCUUCACAUAAGAACUCAAAUACUGAGAAGUUUCCCUAAGCUUUCUUUCUGCUUCCUGGGUCCCCUCCCCAGUGCCUGGGAUAGGUACUCAAAGAAGUUUGCUGAUGGUAAUGCUGUUGGUGGUCAAGAGGUGCCUGGUUGACAUUGGAGAAGAGGAGAAGUGUAUUCCAGGAGAGGGAAACAGCACUAGCAAACCCACCCACAUAGAAGCAGAACUAGGCCUAGAACCCAGCUCCCAUUCCUUAACACCAAUAUGCUUUUACCUCUGUCAUUACUAACAAGGAUUUGGGAAGGCAAAGUAAUAUCUUGUGAUGCUUCAGAACCAGUACUUUUUAAUGGAUUUCAUUCAGUGUGCUGAGCUUUUAGUCAGUGUCUUUUAAGCCAUUUUUUAAAAGCCAAUGCCUCAGGCUCCACCCCAGAAAUUCUGAUUUAAUUUUAAAGGCUCCCCAGGUGAAUCUAAACCAGUGGUUCUCAGACUUUCAAGUGUAUGAGAAUCAUUUGCAGGGCUUCUUAGACCCAGAUUGCUGGGCCCACACCCAGAGUUUCUGGUUCAGUAGAUCUGGGGUAUGGUCCAAGAAUUUGCAUUUCUUUUAAAGUUCCAGGUGAUGCUGAUAUUGAUACUUUGAGAACCACUGUACUAAACAGAGUGGCCAGAGGCAGUAUUGGAAACUCCCAGCCUUGCAUCUUGACGGGCAAGGGACUGUGUGUUCUUGGUCUUUGUUUCCACGGUGCCUAGCAUAGUGUAGGUACUCAGUGUAUGAUGAAUUGACAAAUUGAUAACAACCUUAAUGGAAGCUCACAGCUCAAGCAGUUGCCUCGCCUGCCAUCCCUGAAGCCCAUGGGUUGAGGCAGGAGAAGUACUUCAAGAAGAUCACAAGUGUUCCCCCACUAAGGAAGUUGUCAGAUGGCCACCAGCUUGACAUAGGAGAGCUGCCUUCAUCUCUCUUAGUAGCUGCCACUGUCUUGAAAGGAAACCAGCAGCCAUGCUGGGGUCACCCAAGCCACAUGAAGGGGCCAUGUGCAGGUGUCCUGGUCAAGAGCCCUGGCUGAGCUCUCACUGGACAUCCAGCAUCAACCGUCAGCUAUGUGAGUGAGCCGUCUAGGACAUCCAGACCAGCCUCAAGUUACAAGAUGGCCUCCUCAACUAUGAGCAUCAUUACAAACAACCACAUCUAAAAACAGAAGUAAGGAAGGGGAAGAACAAUCAGGUGGGAAAAUGACCCCAUGCUGAAGACGGAACCUUCACUGCUCCUUCCAGAAGCGAAGCUGCCUCAGUGGGAACAAGUUUAUUGAAAACUCCUUCUUUAGGUAGGAAGCAUGGUGUACUGCCUGGAGUCCCCCGCUGGGAGGCAGAACCUGGCUCUAGAGCUUGCUAGUGGUGUGGUAUUAGUGGGUUAGUUCCCCAUUCUGUGCCUCAGGUUCCUUAUCUGCACACUGAAAGGAUUCCUUCCAACUCCUUCUGUAGGACUAAGUGACUCAACUGCGGUAAACGCUGGUGGGAACGCGGCAGGUGGAAUGAGGGUGAUCUGACCACAGGCCAGACAGGCCAGUUGGCAGAAAUUUGGCACAAAAAUCCUCUGUUUGCGAGAGGAUUGGACAUGUAGGGUGAUGAGGGUUUGGGCCGCGAAGCUUCGGGAGGAAAAGGUGCUGGAGAAGUUUGGGGUGCCACCUCUAGACCCUCUAAAGGCAACGGGACUCUGUGACGAGAGGGUGGCCGUCCGCGAACUGGGUUCAAGUCCCCGCUCCUCUGCCUCUUCCCAGCCACUCACCCUGGGGCAAGCCACCUCAGGGCCAGAGCACUAGGUUCCUUGUCUGUGGGCUGGAGAAGGGAUAACUAGGCCUGCCGGGAGGAAGGGAUGAGAUAUCGGGUAGAGCCGGAGCCUGUAGGUGCUUGGUGAGUGCCAGCGCCUUUCUGGCCCCUUUCUUCUUUGUUGAACUUUUUCAACACCCAGUCUCUUUUCAAACGGCUGCUCCGCCUUCUCCCCUGGCCCCUCAAGCCUUUGGGAGCAGUAUGAGGAAAGGAAGCAUCUAAUCAACCUGAAUGUCAACUGCAGGUUAACAGAAAUGAACAGGACCUUUGGGGGCAGCAUGUGACAGAGGACUAGACUGAUUUCUGCUGAGCCCCAGCCCCUCCUGGGCUCCGGGCCAAACAGGGUCGGCUUUGGAGCUAUUGACUACAUCUCCCAUCAGCCUCCGGGCCGAUGCCUGCUGACCCAUCAUGGGACCAUGUGACUAGAAUGAAGCUUGGGGUGGGGGAUGGCUGACAAAGCUAGUGACACAACUAGUGUUGCCAACUGCCAGGCUCUGGGAGGAGCCCUCCUUGACUGACAACCUAGAGAGAGCUCCCAGCACAGACCCAUGCACGCAUAUACACGUGUUCGCGUGCGCACACACACGCACACGCAUAUCCACACACAGCUCCUGGCUCCACAGGUCCCCCCCCAACCCCCAUGGGAGGACGAACUCCCUGCUCCCUCACAUCCUGCUCUCUCUCCUGAUUGGUAAGUGGGGGAGGGAGGUUGGUAGGAGGCAGCAAACACAUCACUUCUUCCCAUGGUUAGUGUGGACAGUGGCUACACUCAGGCGUGUGGCAAACUCUCCCGUACUGUUGGCCGGCUCCAGUGUUAAGCAACGGAGAAGCAGUGAAUCAGAUCUGAGUCUUGGCCUCAGGGAUCACAUUCUAUUGGGGACAACAGACACUUGCACAGAUAAUUACUAUAUAAACUACACAGUAGAGGAUCCAAGAGGGAACCUGCAGAAAGAAAACCUGGAUUACACUUUGGGGGUUGAGGGUGGUGACAGGAAAGGCUUUGGGAUAAGGUAGCCUUUAAGCUGGGCUGAGAUUGGAUGGAAGGGCUCCUAGGUUGGUAGAACUGCGCAAAGUCACAGAGGCGGGAGAGUGAGGGGCCGGCAGGAAAUGGCAAAAUGCCUGAUGUCAGCCUAGAGCACAGGUGGGAUGUAAUUGCUUUCACCACAGCGAUUCGGUUUGUAACCAGCCCUGAGGAACCCUCCCAGGGGCUAAUGCCUCCCAAUCCUUCCCUGCAUCCGCCGGACACCUCGGAUGGCUUUGGAUGGCUCCUAGGGGACCAGAAGACCACUGUCUUUCUUGUUUGCUACUUCACUGCCUUGCUUGGCCCUACAUUCGACUCCUUCAAAUUAGCCUCUCUUGCAUCAUCUCAAGUGUCCCCUGGAGGUGCUCCUGCCUCUUCUCUCCCUGCUUGCAUGCAUCUCAUCCUUCAAGGACAGAGGAGUCCUGCUUCCUCCAGGGAAGCCCUCCUAACCACUCCAGCUCACUCUGGCCUCCUCAUCAGAUCACCUGAAAUGCCUGAAGUAACCAUGUGGUUCACUCAAUGACCCCUUUUCAGUAAAGGUGCUUUGUCACGUGCUGUAGAAUGAUGCUACUUUCACAACAAGAAAUUCACUAGAGUCUGUUUAAUAUAUGCAUUGUAUAACUGAUUCACUUUGCUGUACAGCAGAAACUAACACAACAUUGUAAAUCAACUACACUCCAAUAAAAAUUAAUUAAAAAAAAAAGAAAUCCACUAGAAUCUGUUUAAACAAAGAAAGGGAGAUUGAUUACAAGGGACUGAGAGUCUCAAGUGACCUAAGGCAGGAAAGGACUUGACCUAGCUCAAGACCCCAGGGGGAUGGUUCUCCCCACCUCUAUCUCUGCCUCUUUGCUCUUUUCUUUUCCCAGACUGGCCUUCUCUGCCCUUCUGAUCAGAUGGGGGAAAACAUGACAGUUCACAGCACCCAUCAUAUCCAGCCAUGUGGAAAGAAUCUCCACAUUUUCAAGAGAGGGUGAUUGGACCAAUUGGAGCAGGUGUCCCACUCUGGCCCAAUCAGCUUUGGGAGGGGAAUGGGGUCACAUGGUGCUAACACGGCUGCCAGGCUACCCCUCUGGGAGUCAUUCCUCACAGUCCUGGGUGUUGGUGAGUGGUCUGUUCUAAGAGAAAGGAAUUGUCAUGAGCAGAGCAGAUACUCCAAAGGUGCCUGUUACAUAUCUGAUAAUGUAAUGUGACUAUGUGCUCAUGAAUUUCAGUUCCAGACUAUCCUACUGACCUACUCUGCGACUUCAGGCAAGUCCCUACCCUCCUCUUGAGGUUGCAGUUUCUUCAUUUGUACACAGAGGAUGGUGGGUCUAAGUGUUCUAUCGGGCUCCCUAACUCUCUUGGACUUUGGGCCAAUUACCCUUUUUGAAUCUCAGUUUUCUCAUUUAUGAAAUGGGAUAAUGAUAUCUACCUCACAGAGUUACUGUAAGAGUGAGCAUGAACAUAUCUAACAAGCGUGGGGUACAGAAAUGCUCAAGAAAUGCUAGUGACUCUCGUAGAUUUAAAUUGGGGUGGCUGCCCUGCUCACAGUGAUUUCCCCCAAGGGUCAUGGCUGUGAUGCCCUCAUGUGUUUGGGAGAAUUGCUCCUCCUUUAGUUGGGGGCUGCCAUCCUCUGAUAGUGAUUUGCAAGGAGUGAGCAUGGGUCCCAAAUUGGAUCAUUCAAAGUGCUUCUCGGGGGCUUUUUUCCAACUGCUGCCCUUUUGUCUCUGUUUGCAGAACUGUGAGAGCAGGAAGCUUGCCAACAGCCAGGUCCCCAACCUUGUGGAGAAAGUGGUCUGGAAAAGUGAUGCUGACAUGAAGAGGAUGUUUGAGUACUUGGUUCCAGACCUCACUAAAUCCAGUUACAUCCUUGCCAUGAACCAACGGCUCCUGAUAAUACCUUCUCCCUUCCCUUUCUAAGCCUUAGUAUCCUUCUCUAUAAAAUAAUGGGGCUGCAUCCUUCCCCCUUUAUCUCUGAUGCUCUAUUACUAUGUUCAUUAAUUUAUUCUUUCCAUCAAUUAGUCAGCAUCCCUUGUGCAUCUGUUCUGUCUCUGGCCCUAUAGUGGACACUGAGACUCUUGGUAAAGGAAUAAUUCCCAUCCCCGGUUCUCAAGACUCAGAGUUAGGCAGGGGAGGGAGUUAAGCAACCAUUCAGGACUGAGUGUGGUAAUGGCUGUGACAGAGGGAAGCACAAAAACUGUGGGGAUGUCAGAGAAGGAGACAUAUCCUCAUUUGUAAGUCUUCCUGGAGGAGGUGGGCAGGAGCUGAGUUUUUCAGACGGGGGUGGGCGUGGAGAGAGGAGGAAGAGUAUUCCAGGCAGAAGAACCUGCCUUUGUAAGGGCCCAAAAGAGAAUGAGAGAAAGUAGCUGCCUGGGGCCGGAGGGGAGGGGACACAGGAGAUGACCUUCUUUGUAUUUUCCACCCAUGUAACUUCUGGGAAAAUAAGAAAAAACUCCAUUUUUUAAAGCUUGGAAAAUCCCCAGGGUGGAGUCUUUAAACAGGGAUGAAAAGAAGUGACCUCUGACCACAGUAAAGCCCUGGAAUGAAUGAUACUUCCCCUAGUAGGCUGCCCCAUUGGUCCUUGGUCCCAUCACGAAAUCCACGCUCACAGUUGCAUUCAGCGGCUGGUCCUAAGGCUGUUGGAUCCAUCUAAAAAUAGGAAGGCCUGGAGCCUAAGGCCAAGCAGAUGACAGAAGAGCAGCCCAGGAAGGCCUGGGAGGAGUGUAAACAUCCCCACCUCAUAGGAAACACACUCAUUACAUUCUGAGCAAAAGCGGUUAAUGAUGCACCCUGGAGAAAAUAUGCAGUUAUUGCCCCCAAACAUGCCAAAGCCCUCCUAAUGACUGCACGCCUGCUCCAAAGCAGAAACUGUUCCAGAUGCUGCUUCUUGUCUCUGGGAGAGCCCUUCCUUCUUCCUGCCUGAGGUUCCGGAAUUUUCCUUGGAUUCUAGUCCUUAGGGAGACAUAUG